UGUCCAUAACGAGUUCUAAAUGCUGUUUUAGGAACAUCGGCCUCUUUAAUUCUAAGCUGAUGAUAUCCCGAGCGCAAAUCGAUCUUAGAAAACACCUUUGCUCCCUGAAGUUGAUCAAACAAGUCAUCGAUGCGUGGAAGUGGAUAUUUAUUACGCACUGUAACUUUAUUCAACUGCCUAUAGUCAAUGCAGAGUCUAAGAGUACCAUCCUUUUUCUUAACAAACAACACCGGAGCUCCCCACAGAGAUACACUAGGUCUAAUAAACUCUUUAUCCACCAAUUCUUGCAGUUGAAUCUUAAGUUCCUUUAGUUCAGCUGGAGCCAUCCUAUACGGUGCUAUAGAUAUAGGAGCCGUCCCAGGGACUAAAUCAAUAGAAAACUCAAUCUCUCUAUGAAGUGGCAUCCCCGGAAGUUCAUCUGGAAAUACAUCUGAAAACUCUUGGACUACUGGAAUAUCCUCCAAUCUCAACUCCCGAACUCCAGUGGCUAUUAUGUAUGCCAGAUAAGCUGAGCAACCUUUCCUUAGUAAGCGUCUUGCAUCAAUGGCCGAUAUGACACAUGAGGGUAAAAUUCUACGCUCACCAUAAAAUUUCACCUCAGUUUCUCCUGGUUUAUUGAACACAACUUCCUUUUUAAAACAAUCCACUGUAGCAUGGUGAGACGCAAGCCAAUCCAUGCCCAAAAUGGCAUCAAAAUCUUGAAUGUCUAGAAUAAUCACAUUCGCCUUAAAUUCAUGCUCGCCCAAUCGAAUCAUGCUAUCUCGAUACACCUUUUCAGCAAGUAAUGACCUUCCGGUAGGUGUACUAACAACUAAACCAUAAUCCAGCAAUUCAGGCUCUCUCUCUAGAUGCAUACUAAAUGUGCGAGAAACAAAAGAAUGCGUGGAUCCAGGAUCAAUAAGAAUAUGAGCAUCAUGACCAAAGAUAGAUAAUGUACCCAUAAUAACUUCUGGUGUAGCAUGAGCCUCCUGCUGUGUCAAGGCAAAAACUCGAGCCUGAGUACGAGGUCGACCAGGUUGACCUCUCUGACUUGGAAAAGUGGUCUGACUCCUCGAUAUAGAACCCCCUGUCUGCAUACCCCUCUGACCCUGAACUGGUCCAACAUGAGAUUGAUACUGUGGGGCUGCCCCUCGAGCAGAACUGUCACCCUGAGAUAAAGUAGGGCAGAAUCUCUUAAUAUGUCCAGGUUGUCCACAUAAAUAACACACAUUGUCUCCGAUACGGCAUUGGCCCUGAUGGUUCCUACCACACGUAGGGCAAGGAGUCUGCUGUAUACUCCUACGGGGUCCUCCGCUAUUCCUGUCAUACUGCCCCUGAGUCCUAACAUUACUCCCCACUGAAGGCUGCGCCGAACUGUAACUGGCGGAUUGUCUCUGAUCUCCCCUGCUACUCAUACUCUGAUUCCUUUGCACACCAGCAGAGUAAUUUGUAUACGCGCCUCUCUUCAGCGGCCUGCUACUCGAGCCACCCUCUGUCCAACUCUGGCUAUGUUUCUGCUUCAGAGUCUGAACUCUACGUCUCUCAGAGAUACUGUGCUCUACUCUCUUAGCUGCCUCAACUACCUCAAUGAACUCAGUGUACCGUGAUGCCGUCACAGUCGUACGAAUCUCAAAUCGGAGACCCUCCUCAAAACGCUUACAUCUCUCCCUCUCAUCACCAACUGCUGAAAUGGCAAAUCUAGAAAGAUCCAAAAAUUUCUUCUCAUACUCUUCCACUGACAUAGCUCCUUGAACCAAUCGAAGGAAUUCACUCCGCUUAAUAUCCUGAUACACAGCCGGAAAAUAAUGAUCGUAGAAUUCCUUACGAAACAUAGCCCAUGUAAGCGCAGCAUGCCCUUGGUAUCUUCGCUCUACUGUUUGCCACCAAUGAUAAGCCCUAUCCUCGAGCAGAAAAGUGGCAAAUGAAAGUCUAUCCUCCUCUGAGCAUCUCAUCACAUCAAAAAUACGUUCUAACUUGAUAAGCCACGACUCUGCCUCAGGUGGAUCACCAGAACCAUUAAAACUCUUUGCCCCUAAACUUCAAACACGCUCGACAGUGUUCACUUGACCGACAUGCGGCUGAGCCUGAUUCUGAACCACUGUAGUCACAAUCUGAGCUAAUCUAUCAAUGGACUGCUCAAUGUUCGGAGCAUUUCCUGGUGCCUGUUGCACAACCUCGUGCGUCGAAGACUCAACUAUUCCCUCAUCAACGGGAUCAUUUUCCCCCGCAGGUACAUCUCCUGGAGUCAACCCAGCUACUAGUCUAGUACGGCCACGACCACGUCCACGUCCGCGGCCACGUCUACUGCUACGACGAAUCAUGAUGGUGCCUACAAAAUAUUAAGUCCGACUUUAAUAAUCAAAACUUAUUCUCUUUACGACAGUAAAGUCUACAGAAUCUAAAACCAUGCUCUGAUACCAACUGAAACGACCCGCCCCGCAACUCCCCAGGGCGAGUCUAUCUAAACUCAUAAAAUCGAAACUAUUCUAUAAAAAUUUCGGCAGAGUCUCCCUUAAAAAUAAAACAUAUCCAAUCCUGCAAUUUACAAAUCAACACUCCCAAAAUAAUUCAAUAUCCAACCAUCCUCCAUAAUCAACUUCUCAAAUCAACAUAUCCAUAUCAUCCUAAGAUUAAAUUACAUCGAUUACAUAAAAUAAUAAAAUAAUACAACUCGCAAAAAUCUCAAAUAUAAUAAUAAUUAAAUCCAUGACUCCUAGCACCAUCAUGUGGCCACAAUAUCACACUAAAGUUCGCUACUGGGUUGACUGAUGUACCUGUAAAUCUCCUGUGGGGGGGGGGGGAAAUAGAAUAAAAGAGGGGUGAGUAUAAAACUCAGUGAGCUCAGUGAGUGGAUAGUAGUUGCUGACAAUUUAAUAAAUUUAUUUAAAAUCAUUUAAUCUUUCUCAAAUCACUUCCUCAAAUCAAUUUCAUAAAUCAAUUUCUCAAAAUAUCAUAAGAACUUGCUCAAACUCAUUUAAUGCAAAUCAGUUCAUUGAAACACUAUAAUACAUAUAUUUGCAUAAAAUCGAUGGAAUCAUAUAAUACACAUCAUAUCAAAUACUGAAUACUAAAAACUGUCAUCAAACAAGUACCCAGGGAAUAAUCUGAUCAUAUCCGGACCUCGACGGACGGGCAAUGACGUACUAUCUGGGUAACGUCACGCCCCGGAGCUACAACGGAUAGAUGGGGACGAUCUCAUCUCAUAUCUCAUAUAUCUGUACUGUGCAUGCAUAAGCCCCCAAAAGGCAAAAGCGCCCGAACACACGGCCCAAAGCCUCUAUGUGUGUUCCGACGGGCCCCAAAGGCCUCUAUCUCAUCUUAUCUGUAUCUCUUUUCUGAUCUCAUAUUAUCUGUUUCUCUGUAUCUGGAGGGAAGGGUACUGUCUAAUGAUUUCAAAAAUAACAUAUACAUAAACAUAGAAUCUCAUAUGAAAUCUCAUUUUCUUUCUAUUCAACAUAUCUCAAAAUCUGCUCAAUUCUAAUAUCAUGCCUUUACUCAAAAACGCUAAUAAAAUCAUUAAUCAAACUCAUUCUCAAUAACAAUAAAGACCGACACAUAGAUAAAAAUUAAUUUGCCGGAAAAUCAUUUAAUCGAAGCAUUAAAUACUUAUCAUAAAAUCAGCAUAUACUAUGAAAAUAGGUUUUGUAUAUUCCACUCACAGUGAUGAUGUCUAGACUCGGUAUCAACAACGUCCGCGGGUUGAUUCUCGUUCGCGGAUGCGGAUCCUCCUAAUCACGGAAACACUAUAAUUAUUCUCUGUAAAUAGAAAUACAACCAAUUUAAUAUAAUAAAUCUCGAAUCCUAUUAACGAUAAACUAUUCCCAUAUGAGUAAAAUUACCAAAAUACCCCCAACAUCAAUAUUUUACCAACUUAUCCUCAAACUUCAUUAUUUUACCAAAUUAUCCUCAUAUUCGUCAAUUACCAUAUUAUCCUCAAUUCAGAUUACAUAAAUUAAUCACAUUCUCCGAAAUUACGAAAUUACCCUCAGGGCAUAAAAUUACCGAAAUGUCCUCAACGUCUUAAAUUACCGAAUUACCCUCGAAAGCAUAAAUUACUUCACUGCUCUCACUCAAAAUUACCAAAAUGUCCACUGAUUACAUAAAAUUACAAAUUCACCCCAAAGUUUCAUGAAUUUACCGAAUUGCCCCUGCCGGUCAACGGUGACCGGACUUCAGUCAACGAUGACGGGGAGCUUAGGUCUGCUAGUUCCGACCUCGGUGAGUGCAAUGGUGGUGGCCGUGAGUCGCCACGCGCGCUACCGGCGGCGGAUCGAAGCUCCAAAGAUCCGCAAGUUUCCGGUGAUCGUUCGGCGGUUUUCCGGCCUCCCUGGUGAUCGUGGUUGGUCGGAAAUUGUUGCUGAAGAUGUGAGGAACUAGUUCCAAGUGGUGGCGCGUCACAAACCCGGCGGAAUCAACGGCGACGGAAAAGGAUCUUGGCCGCGACUUUCGAGCUCAAAUCGUCGGUGUUCUGGUCGGUUUUCGGCGACGAGGACCACGGGGAUACAACGGUCGGCUUCCAAGCUUCAGAUCGGUACCAAGCACGACCGGUAAGGUGGCCGGAAUUAGGAGAUCCUUUUGGGUCAAUAUCGCGGGUCCGGGUCGGGUUUUCGGGUCAACGGGUCAAAAUUCCUCUCUCUCUCUCUCUCUCUUUCACGAGUUCUCUCACUUUGUUUUUGAAUUCAAAAACAGUUCCCCUUCACCAAUUAUACAAUCCGACCCCUUUUUUUUUUUUAAGCUUAAUACAAAUUAAGCUCAAUUCGGACCCGUGAUGAAAAUAAAAUCCGACCAUCGGCGCGUGUAAUCGCGCUCAAUUAUUCUCGAUAAAAUGUCGUGACGAAAUAAAAAAAUUAAUAGCGAAGAAGAAAAUUAAAUCACUCACUUAAUUAAGAAAAUCGGAGUGCAUAUGUUACAAUCCUCCCCCUUUAUAAAAAUUUCGUCCUCGAAAUUUACACAUCUGUUGAGAACAAGUAAGGGUAUUGAGCUCGCAUUAAGUCUUCGCGUUCCCAAGUAGCCUCUUCUCUUGUGUGAUUCCUCCACAACACUUUUACUAGCGGAAUGGUUCUUGAACGCAAAACUUGGUGCUUCUGUUCUAGAAUUUCCACGGGCUCUUCUUCAUAACUCAAGUCUUCUUUCAACUCAAUUGGUUGUCUCGACAACACAUGACUAGGAUCAUACAAAUACUUCCGGAGCAUCGAAACAUGAAAGAUAUCGUGGAUUCUGGAUAACUCAGGUGGUAGAGCUAAUCGAUAUGCCAACGAACCAAUACGCUCCACAAUCUCAUAUGGUCCAAUGUAACGUGGACUCAACUUCCCGCGCUUACCAAAUCGAAGUACCCCUUUCCAAGGAGAUAUUCGUAUGAAAACCUUAUCACCUACUUCAAACUCAAGUUCCCGCCUACGCUUAUCUGCAUAGCUCUUUUGUCUGCUCUGGGCUACCUUUAAUCUUUCCCGAAUAAGCUGUAUCUUCUCACUAGUAUUUUGAACCAAUUCGGGACCAAAACGUUUCCGCUCUCCAACCUCAUCCCAACAUAUGGGAGUUCUGCAUUUCCUUCCAUACAAUGCCUCAUAAGGUGCCAUCUCGAUACUAGCUUGAUAACUGUUAUUAUAAGCAAACUCCAUCAAGGGUGAAUAAAUGUCCCAACUACCCCUAAACUCCAAAAUACAAGCUCGUAACAUAUCCUCCAGGGUUUGAAUAGUACGCUCUGACUGACCAUCAGUCUGUGGGUGAAAAGCUGUACUGAAGUUCAACUUGGUGCCUAAAGCCUUUUGCAAACUUGUCCAGAACUUAAAAGUAAAUCGGGAAUCUCUAUCUGAAACAAUAGACACAGGUGCUCCGUGAAGUCGAACUAUCUCAGCCACAAAAAUAUUCCCCAACUUGUCCAUCGAAUAAGUGGUCUUGAACGGUAAAAAGUGAGUAGAUUUGGUAAGUCGAUCAACAACUACCCAUACACUAUCAUGACCACUCUGAGUACGUGGAAGUCCCGUUACAAAAUCCAUGGUGAUGUGCUCCCAUUUCCACUCAGGGAUAGGAAGCGGUUGAGAAAACCCUGCAGGUCUCUGAUGUUCAGCUUUAAUCUGCUGACAAACUAAACACCGAGAUACAAAUUCAGCUAUCUCUCUCUUCAUACCUUGCCACCAGUAAUGAUCUCUCAAGGUACGGUACAUCUUCGUACUACCAGGAUGCAUAGCAUAAGCUGAACAAUGAGUUUCUUCCAUGAUCUCCUUUUUCAACUCCUUAAUGUCGGGUACGCAAAGUCGAUUAUCCAUAACUAAAACUCCAUCAUCUCUCACUGCAAAAUCAGUUCGUAAGCCUUUUUGCACAUCCUCUUUCAACUUCAGUAACUGCAAAUCCUGAUCUUGCAUCUGAUGAACUUUGUCAAUCAAAGUCGGCCUCACUCGAAAAUUAGUUAUUAAAGCUCUGCAAUUAUCAACUUCCAAUUCAACUCCCAAAUAUCUCAACUCAAUCAAUAACGGCAUGUAUGUCCCUCGCAAGUGAGCUAUAGAGCUAAAAGACUUCCUGCUUAGUGCAUCAGCUACCACAUUCGCUUUGCCCGGAUGAAAAUCAAUGGUACAAUCAUAGUCUUUAAUCAGCUCAAUCCAUCUCCUCUGUCUCAAAUUCAACUCCUUCUGAGUAAACAAAUACUUCAAGCUCUUGUGAUCAGUAAAAAUCUGACAUGUUGCUCCAUACAAGUAAUGCCUCCAUGUCUUGAGUGCAAACACCACUGCUGCUAGCUCUAAAUCAUGAGUUGGGUAAUUUUGUUCAUGCUUCUUAAGUUGUCUUGAAGCAUAAGCCACUACUUUCCCAUACUGCAUUAGCACACAACCCAAUCCUUGCCUGGAUGCAUCACUGUAUACUACAAACCCUUCAUUACCCGAUGGAAGUGUAAGAACUGGUGCUAAAGUAAGACAUGCCUUGAGUUCUUGAAAACCCUUUUCACAAUCAUCAUUCCACUGGAACUUAGCAUUCUUUCUGAUUAACCUUGUCAGAGGAAUAGCAAUCUUGGAGAAUCCUUCCACAAAUCUCCGAUAAUAGCCAGCUAAUCCAAGGAAACUUCGAACUUCAGUCACAUUUGUCGGCCGUUCCCAAUUUACAACUGCUUCGAUCUUUUGAGGAUCAACAUAAAUUCCUUCAGCUGAUAUCACAUGGCCUAGAAAUACUACUUUAUCCAACCAGAACUCACACUUGCUGAACUUAGCGUACAAUUGCUUUUGUCUUAAAGUCUGCAAAACAGUCCACAAGUGCUCCUCAUGUUCCUCCUGACUUCGAGAAUACACCAAAAUAUCGUCGAUAAACACAAUCACAAAUCGAUCCAGAUAAGGGCGAAAUACCCUAUUCAUAAGGUCCAUGAAAGCUGCUGGGGCGUUAGUCAACUCAAAUGGCAUCACCAAGAACUCAUAGUGACCAUAACGAGUCCUGAAUGCUGUUUUAGGAACAUCAGCCUCUUUAAUUCUCAGCUGAUGAUAUCCCGAGCGCAAAUCGAUCUUAGAAAACACAUGCGCUCCCUGAAGUUGAUCAAACAAGUCAUCGAUGCGCGGAAGUGGAUAUUUAUUACGCACUGUAACUUUAUUCAACUGCCUAUAGUCAACGCAGAGUCUAAGAGUACCAUCCUUUUUCUUAACAAACAACACCGGAGCUCCCCACGGAGAUACACUAGGUCUAAUAAACUCUUUAUCCACCAAUUCUUGCAGUUGAAUCUUAAGUUCCUUUAAUUCAGCUGGAGCCAUCCUAUAUGGUGCUAUAGAUAUAGGAGCCGUCCCAGGGACUAAAUCAAUAGAAAACUCAAUCUCUCUAUGAAGUGGCAUCCCCGGAAGUUCAUCUGGAAAUACAUCUGAAAACUCUUGGACUACUGGAAUAUCCUCCAAUCUCAACUCCCGAACUCCAGUGGCUAUUACGUAUGCCAGAUAAGCUGAGCAACCUUUCCUUAGUAAGCGUCUUGCAUCAAUGGCCGAUAUGACACAUGAGGGUAAAAUUCUACGCUCACCACAAAAUUUCACCUCAGUUUCUCUUGGUUUGUUGAACACAACUUCCUUUUUAAAACAAUCCACUGUAGCAUGGUGAGACGCAAGCCAAUCCAUGCCCAAAAUGGCAUCAAAAUCUUGAAUGUCUAGAAUAAUCAAAUUCGCCUUAAAUUCAUGCUCGCCCAAUCGAAUCAUGCUAUCUUGAUACACCUUUUCAGCAAGUAAUGACCCUCCGGUAGGUGUACUAACAACUAAACCAUAAUCCAGCAAUUCAGGCUCUCUCUCUAGAUGCAUACUAAAUGUGCGAGAAACAAAAGAAUGCGUGGAUCCAGGAUCAAUAAGAAUAUGAGCAUCAUGACCAAAGAUAGAUAAUGUACCCAUAAUAACUUCUGGUGUAGCAUGAGCCUCCUGCUGUGUCAAGGCAAAAACUCGAGCCUGAGUACGAGGUCGACCAGGUUGACCUCUCUGACUUGGAAAAGUGGUCUGACUCCUCGAUAUAGAACCCCCUGUCUGCAUACCCCUCUGACCCGGAACUGGUCCAACAUGAGAUUGAUACUGUGGGGCUGCCCCUCGAGUAGAACUGUCACCCUGAGAUAAAGUAGGGCAAAAUCUCUUAAUAUGUCCAGGUUGUCCACAUAAAUAACACACAUUGUCUCCGAUACGGCAUUGGCCCUGAUGGUUCCUACCACACGUAGGGCAAGGAGUCUGUUGUAUACUCCUACGGGGUCCUCCGCUAUUCCUGUCAUACUGCCCCUGAGUCCUAACAUUACUCCCCACUGAAGGCUGCGCCGAACUGUAACUGGCGGUCUGUCUCUGAUCUCCCCUGCUACUCAUACUCUGAUUCCUUUGCACACCAGCAGAGUAAUUUGUAUACGCGCCUCUCUUCGGUGGUCUGCUGCUCGAGCUACCUUCUGCCCAACUCUGGCUACGUUUCUGCUUCAGAGCCUGAACUCUACGUCCCUCAGAGAUACUGUGCUCCACUCUCUUAGCUGCCUCAACUACCUCAAUAAACUCAGUGUACCGUGAUGCCGUCACAGUAGUACGAAUCUCAAAUCGGAGACCCUCCUCAAAACGCUUACAUCUCUCCCUCUCAUCACCAACUGCUGAAAUGGCAAAUCUAGACAAAUCCAGAAAUUUCUUCUCAUACUCUUCCACUGACAUAGCUCCUUGAACCAAUCGAAGGAAUUCACUCCGCUUAAUAUCCUGAUACACAGCCGGAAAAUAAUGAUCGUAGAAUUCCUUACGAAAAAUAGUCCAUGUAAGCGCAGCAUGGCCUUGGUAUCGUCGCUCUACUGUUUGCCACCAAUGAUAAGCUUUAUCCUCGAGCAGAAAAGUGGCAAAUGAAAGUCUAUCCUCCUCUGAGCAUCUCAUCACAUCAAAGAUACGUUCUAACUUGAUAAGCCACGACUCUGCCUCAGGUGGAUCACCAGAACCAUUAAAACUCUUCGCCCCAAGACUUCGAACACGCUCAACAGUGUUCACUUGACCGACAUGCGGCUGAGCCUGAUUCUGAACCACUGUAGUCACAAUCUGAGCUAAUCUAUCAAUAGACUGCUCAAUGUUCGGAGCAUUUCCUGGUGCCUGUUGCACAACCUCGUGCGUCGAAGACUCAACUAUUCCCUCGUCUACGGGAAUAUUUUCCCCCGCAGGUACAUCUCCUGAA
rnacentral:lncRNA from 1 species